rnacentral:tmRNA from 1 species
GGGGCUGACUGGUUUUGACAGCAAGGAGAUGGAUUUGUAAGCAUGCAGGCUCACGCAUCAGCAGCCUUGACCACCGAUGCACUAAAUUUAAUUGGCGAAAAUAACUACGCUCUUGCUGCAUAACCGAAGUACAGUAGGUUGGCUUAAUCCCCGCAAAAGUUGCAGGGACAAGACAUCUCCCACAAGCCCCGACCGUCGGCGUGUGAUCCGGAGGUGCUCGCAAAGACGGAAUAGCCGGCACAAUGCCUCGCACUGCCGGUGAAGUUUUAGAGGCUAAGGUCGACCUUGGGUGUCCGCGUCCAGAGCUGUCCCGACAACCAACCACGGAAUAAGCAUGUAGAAAGCAACUCAGUCGCUUGUUUGGACGGCGGUUCGACUCCGCCCAGCUCCACA